GCUGCUAAACAGCUAAUUUUUUGCAUUUUUAGUAGAGAUGGGGUUUUGCCGUGUUGGCCAGGCUGGUCCCAAACUCCUGGCUUCAAGUGAUCCACCCACCUCGGCCUCCCAAAUGCAUGUUUUUUAAUUAGGCAUUUUUCAAUUAAUUUAAUAUGGUUGAUUCUUCAGGUAGCAAUUCCAUUCAGAAUUGUAUUUUUUGGUAUGCUAAUUUGUCCCUCUCUUCCUAUCUUUAAGUGUAAACGUUUUCCCUCAUAACUGCCCUCAGAAUACCAAUACCACAGCUGAUAUUUGUAGCACGAAUAUUUGAUCAAUGCAAACUUGAUAGAAAUAGCCUUACUAUGAAAAAUUCAAGCCAACCUCCCAACCUCAAAAGAAGUCUCCUCACAACGUGGUAACAACUUCAUUUUAGCCACUGGAGAGCAGAUGACACCUUACUAUGCUCUACGGUUGCACUCCUAUACCUAAGUGCCUAGGAGCAGCAUUUGCUAUUGAAAUUUCUCAGAUACAUGGAAGGGAAUCUCCUGAAUCUAUAUUCUGUCUUAUCUAUAAAGCAUCCCAUUAUGUCAAACAAAACCCGUUUACAUGAAUGAAUUCAAAUUGAUAAGAAAGAGGGCCAGGCGCAGUGGCCUGUAAUCCCAGCACUUUG
rnacentral:lncRNA from 1 species